GACGAACGCUGGCGGCGUGCUUAACACAUGCAAGUCGAACGAUGAAGCCGGAGCUUGCUCUGGUGAAUUAGUGGCGAACGGGUGAGUAACACGUGAGUAACCUGCCCUUGACUCUGGGAUAACUGCUAGAAAUGGUAGCUAAUACCGGAUACGACCCUCGGAGGCAUCUCCAGGGGGUGGAAAGAAUUUCGGUCAAGGAUGGACUCGCGGCCUAUCAGCUAGUUGGUGAGGUAAUGGCUCACCAAGGCGACGACGGGUAGCCGGCCUGAGAGGGUGACCGGCCAGACUGGGACUGAGACACGGCCCAGACUCCUACGGGAGGCAGCAGUGGGGAAUAUUGCACAAUGGGCGCAAGCCUGAUGCAGCAACGCCGCGUGAGGGAUGACGGCCUUCGGGUUGUAAACCUCUUUUAGUAGGGAAGAAGCGAAAGUGACGGUACCUGCAGAAAAAGCGCCGGCUAACUACGUGCCAGCCGCCGCCGUAA
rnacentral:rRNA from 1 species